rnacentral:rRNA from 1 species
AAACUCUACAAUGCAGGAGACUGCGAUAGGGGGACAUCGAGUGGCAUCCACCUUGGGCCUGUCCCCCGUACGGUGGUAGCAAGGGCCGGCAAGACCGGUGCCAGCCGCCGCGGUAAUACCGGCGGCUCGAGUGGUGGCCGAUAUUAUUGAGUCUAAAGGGUCCGUAGUCGGCUUUGGAGUCCCCUGGGAAAUCCAGCGGCUUAACCGUUGGGCUCCAUGAGAUACUGCUUUGCUUGGGACUGGGAGAGGUAGGAGGUACUCAAGGGGUAGGAGUGAAAUCCUGUAAUCCUUUGGGGACCACCGGUGGCGAAGGCGUCCUACCAGAACAGUCCGACGGUGAGGGACGAAAGCUGGGGGCACGAACCGGAUUAGAUACCCGGGUAGUCCUAGCCGUAAACGAUGCUCGCUAGGUGUCACGUGGUGCCGUAGGGAAGCCGUGAAGCGAGCCACUUGGGAAGUACGACCGCAAGGUUGAAACUUAAAGGAAUUGGCGGGGGAGC